rfam:Felis catus isolate Cinnamon breed Abyssinian chromosome E3, whole genome shotgun sequence.
GCCUAGGUGGCUCAGUCGGUUGAGCAUCUGACUUCAGCUCAGGUCAUGAUCUCACGGUUCGUGAGUUCAAGUCCUACGUUGGGCU